CUCUCUCUCUCUCUCUCUCUAUAUAUAUAUAUAUAUAUAUAUCCCUUCAGUUGAAGGAUCCCUCAAAUAGUGUUUCUCUCUCUCUCUAUAUAUAUAUCCCUUCAGUUGAGGGAUCCCUCAAAUAGUGUUAUUUGAGGGAUGUGGCGCUCAACCGUUGGAUCUGUUUUAAUGAUCUUGUGUGGCUGAGAUUGUUUUACAUCUUUUAACCCGUUUUAUGCCAAAUAACCCGACACAUCCAAUGCUGGAGAAGACCUAAGGCACGCAGGCUCUCAGAUGGGAAACGAAGGAAAAGGAAGAACCCCUUGCAAGCCUAAGAGAAGACCCACUCUCUCGAGAUGAAAUGAUGACCCACCAUUUCCAACUAAGCUUGCGAGAUUUCUAUUUCUAUAAGGUAUCCAUUGUCGUGGUUUUUUUUCCUUCCGAAAUCUGGGUUGUAGUCUUCGAUUUGGAGAUGUAUGAGGGUUUUUCGAUCUGGGUUUGUAGAUUUCUAAGUUUUUAAAAAUCUGAGUUGAGAUUAAUCUCCAGAUUUAAUAUGGGUUUGGAAAAAUUCAUGUGAAUUAUUAUUGUUGUGUUGUUCUGGUAUCUGACAUGGGUUUUUUUAAAAUCGAUUUGAAGAUUUCUGCUAAAAGUUGAGAUUACAUCUCCAUAUUUGUAAUGGGAUUGAAAAAAUUCAUGCGAUUUACUUGUUGUUGUGAUAUUUGAUAUGGGUUUUAAAAUUGAUUGCGGCCACAAGAAUAUUAAAUAUUAUUUUUUGCUGGCAUGGAGCUUUCAUUCAAAGUAAUAAUAUAUCUUGAGUAAGUAAAGUCAUAUUUUCUACCUAUGUAAUUUGCCUGUUCUUGAUAAAAUUGAAUUAAUUAUUUUCAUUUGCUUUGUGUUUUUAGGAUGAUGUUUUGAACUCCUAGUGAGUAGUGGCAAAAGAUAUCCAGUUUUACUUGCGUUUAACAUAUUUCUGGUGUUGUAUGAUUGCACUGACAGAGAUCCAUUUUAAGGUUAUCUAAGCCGUAUAGCUUCUUAGGGUCAGUUAGAUGUGAGUUAUUUUUUAUUAGACAAUAAUUAAUGGAAUAUAUGAGGUUCGAAAUUUUUUUAGGGUCAAUUAGGUGGUGCAAGUCUUUUUGAAUUGUUGUUUAUCCGACUCUAUUGAACUAUGAGCAAAGGUUGUUUUAAGGUAUAUCUUGUUUGGU
rnacentral:lncRNA from 1 species